rnacentral:rRNA from 1 species
UGGGAUUCCCCUAGUAACGGCGAGUGAACCGGGAAGAGCUCAAAUUUGAAAUCUGGCAGUCUUCGAUUGUCCGAGUUGUAAUCUAUAGAAGCGUUUUCCGUGCUGAACUGUGUAUAAGUCCCUUGGAACAGGGUAUCAAAGAGGGUGACAAUCCCGUACUUUACACAAUCAUCAGUGCUCUGUGAUACGUUCUCUACGAGUCGAGUUGUUUGGGAAUGCAGCUCAAAAUGGGUGGUAAAUUCCAUCUAAAGCUAAAUAUUGGCGAGAGACCGAUAGCGAACAAGUACCGUGAGGGAAAGAUGAAAAGCACUUUGGAAAGAGAGUUAAACAGUACGUGAAAUUGUUGAAAGGGAAACGAAAUUCAUGAAUCAUGUUUAUUGGACUCAGCCGUUCUUCGGUGUACUUCCUUUAAACGGGUCAACAUCAGUUUUGUCCGAUGGAUAAAGGUAGUAGGAAGGUGGCUCUCUCGGGAGUGUUAUAGCCUAUUGCUGCAUACAUUGGAUGAGACUGAGGACUGCAGCUUGCCUUUAUGGCCGGGGUUCGCCCACGUUCAAGCUUAGGAUGUUGACAUAUUCUCGAAUCACGACCCGUCUUGAAACCACGGAAC